UUUUACAGGCUCAUUUUGGUCAACCAUAUCAUCUAAUAGCUUCCAGAGAAAGUGACAUAGGAGAUCUCUGCCUUCCCGAGGCCAUCCACUCCGAGCCUCCUCUGGCGGGCUUCUCUGGGCGCCGAGAACGUGUUGCCUCUCUUGGAAGAGGCCUGCACACGCAUGAGGUCAGCAUGGACAGUGUCCUGUCGUGCGGCUCUCGGAUUGCACUGCACAGCACAUACAUUAUGAACCCCGCAAUCAGACUUUUUCUUUGGCUGGAUUACAUUUUCUCUUGGGAGAGCGGACGCACUUCACUGAAGCCACAGAAAGAAAAAGUGAAGAUCAAGAACCUGUGGGAAAUGGCAGCCACCUUGUAGACAAGAGCCUAAUACUGCGUGAUCAAACCCGUGCCGAGAGCCAGGGACACAGCAGUCAGGCGCCCUGCCCCAGGACCAGCGGAGCACGCGGGGACUGAUUUGUGAACAAGCGGCUGCUCCUGGCUCCGGGUCCCUCUGGCCAGAAAUCCACCCGUUAAGCCAUGGCGGGGACUAAGAUUCCCGUCCUGUGGAAUGGCCCCUGGGAGGGACUGGGCCCUUUGGGGGCAGAGAAUUCCCCUCGGAGAGGGUCACCCUCCUGAAGGGGCCUCCAGUGACAGCAAGCCCCCAGGUCUGUCCCCCGGGGGAGGAUACAGCCACAGUUGUAUCUGCCUCCCGGCCAGUUCCCUACUGGGCUUCUCCCUCCAGGGAGAUAAGGAAGGAAUGUUUGUCCAGGUGUCACCGCUGGACUAUCUCGGGCACAGGAGUGUCUUCAGGGCGUAGUGUCAGAACCGGUCCCCAUCUGGGCGUGCUGUAAACAGCAGGUUGAUUCAAAGCUGAGAGGCGUUGGGAAACCCCUUGGGCAGGAGAUUUCGAAAUGAGAUUCAGAUGAGAAGAAACCUAGGUGGGUGCGUUCUAAGGAAGGAGACAGAAAAGGCAGAAAAGGCUUCCGUCAGGUGCUGGGUGGGCAGCGGGGAUGGAGGGAGAGCCUGGGAGGGGGAGGCCUGGGAUGGGAGGAAGCGGCUGAGCUGAGCGGCUCCUCUCCCCACUGCCCGCAGGACAGGAGGCCCCUCGUCUGUCCACCAGGCGGGACCAGAGCGGAGCGGAGCGCCCGCCUCGGGCAUGUCAGCACCAGCAAGACAAGAGCGGCUCCGAGAGGGAGGGCCUGGGCAGGGGAGCAGGGCUGGCAGGAGCAUUAGGAGAAAAGCUCGGUUAUAAAAGGGUUUAGAAGACGUGUUGGGUGAUUGAGGAAGGGACUAGUGCAGAAGGCCUUGGUGCCGGGCGGAAGGGACAGCCCGCCCUGCUGACCCAGCCGUCUCCUGCGCCCACC